rnacentral:rRNA from 1 species
CCUACGGGAGGCAGCAGUGAGGAAUAUUGGUCAAUGGGCUUACGCCUGAACCAGCCAAGUCGCGUGAGGGAAGACUGCCCUAUGGGUUGUAAACCUCUUUUGUCAGGGAGCAACGCCGGCUACGUGUAGCCGGACUGAGAGUACCUGAAGAAAACGCAUCGGCUAACUCCGUGCAAGCAGCCGCGGUAAUACGGAGGAUGCGAGCGUUAUCCGGAUUUAUUGGGGUUAAAGGGUGCGUAGGCGGAAUGCCAAGUCAGCGGUAAAAUCGCGGGGCUCAACCUCGCUCAGCCGUUGAAACUGGCGUUCUUGAGUGGGCGAGAAGUAUGCGGGAUGCGUGGUGUAGCGGUGAAAUGCAUAGAUAUCACGCAGAACUCCGAUUGCGAAGGCAGCAUACCGGCGCCCAACUGACGCUGAAGCACGAAAGCGUGGGUAUCGAACAGGAUUAGAUACCCCUGUAGUC